rnacentral:rRNA from 1 species
GAUGAACGCUGGCGGCGUGCCUAAUACAUGCAAGUCGAGCGAACGGGCGAGAAGCUUGCUCCUCUGGUGUUAGCGGCGGACGGGUGAGUAACACGUGGAUAACCUACCUAUAAGACGGGGAUAACUUCGGGAAACCGUAGCUAAUACCGCAUAAUAUUUUGAACCGCAUGGUUCAAAAGUGAAAGGCGGUAUUGCUGUCACACAUAGAUGGAUUCGGGCUGCAUUAGCUAGUUGGUAAGGUACCGGCUUACUAGGGCAACGUUGAAUACCCGACCGGGGGGGGUGAUCGGCCACACGGGAACUGAAACACGGUCCAGACUCCUACGGGAGGCAGCAGUAGGGAAUCUUCCGCAAUGGGGGAAAGCCUGACGGAGCAACGCGGCGUGGGUGAUGAGGGUCUUCGGAUCGUAAAACUCUGUUAAUGGGGAAGAACAGAUGUGUAAGUAACUGUGCACACCUUGACGGUACCUAAUCAGAAAGCCACGGCUAACUACGUG